UGGGGAAUAUUGCGCAAUGGGCGAAAGCCUGACGCAGCGACGCCGCGUGAGGGAUGAAGGUUUUCGGAUCGUAAACCUCUGUCAGAAGGGAAGAAACCGCACUGUGCUAAUCAGCAGUGCCUUGACGGUACCUUCAAAGGAAGCACCGGCUAACUCCGUGCCAGCAGCCGCGGUAAUACGGAGGGUGCAAGCGUUAAUCGGAAUUACUGGGCGUAAAGCGCACGUAGGCUGCUUUGUAAGUCAGGGGUGAAAUCCCACGGCUCAACCGUGGAACUGCCUUUGAUACUGCUUAGCUUGAAUCCGGGAGAGGGUGGCGGAAUUCCAGGUGUAGGAGUGAAAUCCGUAGAUAUCUGGAGGAACAUCAGUGGCGAAGGCGGCCACCUGGACCGGUAUUGACGCUGAGGUGCGAAAGUGUGGGGAGCAAACAGG
rnacentral:rRNA from 1 species